UCCCUGGUGGCUCAGAGGUUAAAGCGUCUGCCUGCAAUGCGGGAGACCUGGGUUCGAUCCCUAGGUUGGGAA
rnacentral:tRNA from 1 species